rnacentral:rRNA from 1 species
AUGGCAACCGCGAAGCCAGUGGCGCCGGUGCCGCUCCCACCGGCCGGCGCCUACCCGCGAAUCCUUCCACUGCGCCUACCGCGCCGAAGGGCAGGAACUACCAGGGCCUCGCAUCUUCCCACCACCUGCAGCGGGGACGCCGGAUGCGAGCUUCAUACCCGUCUCCAGCCGAACGCGCGCCGGCCGCUCUGGCACGGCGGCGGGUUCAGCCUUGGCGUGGACCUGGGCGCCGCACGCACAGGGCUCGCCGUCGGCCGUGGCAUCACCCAGCCCCGCCCCCUCACCGUUCUGAAGCUACGGGGGCAGAAGCUGGAGCUGAUGCUACUCGAUGUAGCUCAACAGCAGGAGGCGGGCGAGCUGAUUAUCGGGCUGCCGGUCUCGGCCGACGGGAGAGAGACGCCGCAGUCCAACAAGGUGCGGAGCGUCGUCGGAAGGCUUGCCGUCCAAGCGGCCGACAGGGGCCUGAGGGUUUAUCUGCAGGAUGAACAUGGAACAUCAAUAGACGCCCUUCAUUAUAUGAUCUCAAGCGGUGUUAAGAGGUCUGCCCGUGACGUCAAAUCUGAUGCGUAUGCUGCUGUGAUGAUUCUGGAUAGAUACUUCUCGUCGUCAGGUCAAGGGGCUCAGAUUGUUCUUCCUAGGCAACAGGAACUGCAGGACAAAUUAAUAGCAAAAUCAAGGCAAGAUGCUGAAAUUUAG